AGCUCCAAUAGCGUAUACUAAAGUUGUUGCAGUUAAAAAGCUCGUAGUUGAAUUUCUGACUUGGCGGUGCGGCCGGCCCCGUGUGGGUCGUUGCUAGUGCCGCGAGGUCAUCCUCGGGGAAUGCGUGUCUGUCAUUCAGUUGAUGGGCACGAGUACCCCGUCAUUUACUGUGAGCAAAAUAGCGUGUUCAAAGCAGGCUUACGCCGUUGAAUACAUUAGCAUGGAAUAAUAAGAUAGGACCUUGGUCUAUUUUGUUGGUUAGUACUCCAAGGUAAUGAUUAAUAGGGACAGUUGGGGGUAUUCGUAUUCAAUUGUCAGAGGUGAAAUUCUUGGAUUUAUGGAAGACGAACUACUGCGAAAGCAUUUACCAAGGAUGUUUUCA
rnacentral:rRNA from 1 species